UUAAACCUUGUGGCAAGACAUGGAACUCGGUCUCCAACCAAAAAACGGAUGAGAGAGUUGAACCUGUUGGCAUCUCAUUUGGAAGAACUCAUAAGAGAUGCCAAGGAACAGAAAUUAUCUUUGCAGAAAGUUCCGACCUGGUUACUGGGUUGGGAAUCUCCUUGGAGAGACAAAUUGAAAGGUGGAGAAUUGAUUAGCAAGGGAGAAGAUGAAUUAUAUGAUCUUGGAAU
rnacentral:misc_RNA from 1 species